UCUAAAAUGGCAGACCAUUGCAUAGGAUUUAAGCUCCUAAUAGGAAAUCUAUAUUUCUUUUAGAA
rnacentral:tRNA from 1 species